rnacentral:rRNA from 1 species
AGACGUCUACAUUAGAUACCCCUGUAGUCCUAGCCGUAAACGAUACUCGCUAGGUGUCGGCCACGGUGCGACCGUUGUCGGUGCCGUAGGGAAGCCGUGAAGCGAGCCACCCGGGAAGUACGGCCGCAAGGCUGAAACUUAAAGGAAUUGGCGGGGGAGCACCACAACGGGUGGAGCUUGCGGUUUAAUUGGAUUCAACGCCGGAAAUCUUACCGGGACCGACAGCAACAUGAAGGCCAGGCUGAAGACUUUGCCGGAUUAGCUG